CGUCUGUGAUGAUUCCAAUAUUCAGUUCUGCUUCCGAAAGAGACAGAAUCUCUUGUGGACAACCUUAUACCAAAACUCUCAAUUCUGAUCC
rfam:Rhizopogon vesiculosus strain AM-OR11-056 contig963, whole genome shotgun sequence.